GACGAACGCUGGCGGCGUGCUUAACACAUGCAAGUCGAACGGAAAGGCCCUGCGUUUGUGGGGUGCUCGAGUGGCGAACGGGUGAGUAACACGUGAGUAACCUGCCCUUGACUUUGGGAUAACUUCAGGAAACUGGGGCUAAUACCGGAUAGGAUCUCCUGCUGCGUGGUGGGGGUUGGAAAGUGUCGGCGGUGGGGGAUGGACUCGCAGCUUAUCAGCUUGUUUGUGGGGUAGUUGCUUACCAAGGCUUUGACGGGUAGCCGGCCUGAGAGGGUUAACGGCCACCUUGGGACUGAGAUACGGCCCAGUAUCCUACGGGCGGCAGCAGUGGGGAAUAUUGCACAAUGGGCGGAAGCCUGAUGCAGCAACGCCGCGUGCGGGAUGACGGCCUUCGGGUUGUAAACCGCUUUCGCCUGUGCCGAAGCGUGAGUGACGGUAAUGGGUAAAGAAGCACCGGCUAACUACGUG
rnacentral:rRNA from 1 species